rnacentral:lncRNA from 1 species
CUAAGCACUGCCAGACAGGUUUGACUAAGGAACGAAGCCUAGUAUGGAUUAAUAGAGCAGCUGUUUUCUUUUUCUAGCUGUUUUUUUUUUGUAAAGUGACUGCUGUCAGGAUAUUUUGUAGAAACUAUGUAUGUGUUUUAAGAGAACUAUGAAGUUUAAAAUUAAGGUUUUUGAAAUGUUCUGCUUCAUCUGUAAAAAUCAAAGAGUUUUCUUUCAAAUUUUAUAAUUUAUUUUUAUUUUUAUUUAUCUGCUGGGGCCUUCAAUGCCCGCACCUGGGAGCCUCAGGAGACCACCUGGGAUGCACCCCCGCCCACUGGCCCUGCAGCCACAUUUAGGGCAGCCAAAGCACCUUGCCAGGGCUUUUCAUGUGUUGUGGGUAGAUCCUUGCUUAUCCCUAUCUGCCGCAGUGCCCUACUUCUGGGGCUGUUCCAGAGCUGAUCUGCUUCUGCUGAUUUGGCUGAGAGCUUUCUCACCCUAUGAGCAAGAUCACAAGGAGUUUUGUGUCUUCACACUGUGCUGGAACAUACAACUGCUCCUCCCACAACAUGGCAAAACGGGGGCCUACACAACCUGAGACUUCCACUGAAGCAGCAAAAUAAUUUCCU